ACUAUUUUGGCAGAGAAGUGUGGUGGAUUUAGAAUCUAAGCAUAUAGUUUUAACUAUAAGUAGUA
rnacentral:tRNA from 1 species